UCUACGGGAGGCAGCAGUGGGGAAUAUUGCGCAAUGGGCGAAAGCCUGACGCAGCGACGCCGCGUGAGGGAUGAAGGUCUUCGGAUCGUAAACCUCUGUCAGCAGGGAAGAACGGUCACUGUGCUAAUCAGCAGUGAAUUGACGGUACCUGCAAAGGAAGCACCGGCUAACUCCGUGCCAGCAGCCGCGGUAAUACGGGGGGUGCGAGCGUUAAUCGGAAUGACUGGGCGUAAAGCGCACGUAGGCGGUAUGUCAAGUCAAGGGUUAAAUCCCUGCGCUAAACGUGGGUACUGCCUUUGAAACUGGCAGACUGUAGGGUGUGAGAGGAUAGUGGAAUUCCAGGUGUAGGAGGGAAA
rnacentral:rRNA from 1 species